rnacentral:lncRNA from 1 species
GGGCUGGUUAGCAAGGGAGAGCUGCAUCCAUCUCACUUCAUGGAAGCCUCACAUGCCAUUGGCUGUCUGCAGUGGGAUGUGUUCCUUUGCAAUUAGGUAAAUGCCUUCUCAGGAGAUGUGGUGAUUCCUCCUCCGCUAGUGCCCCACCUCCCUCGUGCUUCUGCACAACGCCCAACAGGAAGGCAGGGGGCCAGGGGAGCCAAAGAGGGCUCAGAUAGUGACCUCAAAUGCACGCAGCCUGAGAGCUGGCCUGCUACUGCCUGCCUCGUUCCAAAGGGACAUUCGGCUCAGGGAGUCCAUAAACAUCAUGGCUUUAAAAUCCACCCAAGGAAGGAAGGAAGGAGGGAAGGACAUGGCCUGUGAUACAGGAAGAAGCAGUGCCCACUUUUUGCUUUGAGAAAAAGCCCUCAAAGCUAAGUCUUUAUGAAGAAUGGUGUCUGUCAUCCAGAGUGACUCCACGAGGUUUGUUGCGCUUUAUCUCAGUUUUACAGUUAGGGACAUGGAGGCGUGGACAGAAGGCGGAACAACGUGGUGGCAGCCAUGCUGGAACCACAGUCUUGCCGUGGAACUAGGCUCCUCACCUGUGUGCCGCGCUGCUCUUCCGUCUCCUUCAUGGAGGAGCAAGGACCAGAUCAAAGAGAGUGAUUUCUCCCCAGAUCCACGCUUGCAAGUAUUCCCCCUGCAAAAACGUGUUCCUCAUCUGCAGAUGAACAGAUUGAGCACUUUGCCUGAAGUCCUUGCCAGUGAGUGCUCCUCGGACUUCACUCUCAGACUCCGAUCUCUGGCAAAAGUUUCC